rnacentral:ncRNA from 1 species
AAUAAGUUUUAUUCUUGCUUAAGCUUGAAAAUUUACGUUAAGUUUGUUUUACAUGUAAAUUUUAGUGUUUAGUUGCGUUACCAUUUAGGGGUAAUGUGGUGUAGUUUUAGUUGUUGGCUAAGCAGUAUGUAGCUUUAUAAAUCAAGUUGAUUUGGAUUUAGUAAUCUUAUUAGUAUCGGUAAAAAUCGUGCCAGCCGCCGCGGUUAAACGAAGGAUAUAAGUGAAUAUUGUUAGUGGUAACAGUUAUUUUAAUGUGAGGGUUGCAGGGAGUGACAAAUAGGUUUAAUUGAGUGAAAUUUUUAAUUUAUGAUAUGCCUUGUGUCUUUAUCACAGUAAGAGGCUGUAAAAUUCAGAUUUUAGACUAGGAUUAGAUACCCUAUUAUUUUGAAUGUGGGUAGUAUACACUUGAGUAGUAGUAGUUAAGGUCUUGAAACUCAAAGAAUUUGGCGGUAUUUUAGUCUUUUCAGAGGAACUUGUCCCAUAAUCGAUACCCCUCGUUUUAUCUUACUUGAUUUUGUUGUGCAAUAUGUAUACCGCCGUCGUCUGAGUGUCCUUUUAGGGUAACAAUUUUCUUGAGCUUUCAUUAAAGAAGAUGUCAGGUCAAGGUGCAGUUUAUGGUCAAGAGGAGGUGAGUUACAGUAAAAUGAAUUUACAACGGAUAGGGUUUUGUAAGUUGGGCCCUUGAAGGUGGAUUUGAUAGUAAGUCUAACAAUGGAAUUAAAUUGAUUUUAGCUCUAAAAUGCGCACACAUCGCCCGUCGCUCUCGUUAUUUAAGGCGAGAUAAGUCGUAACAUAGUAGGCGCACCGGAAGGUGCUUCUAGAAAUU